CCUACGGGCGGCUGCAGUGGGGAAUAUUGGACAAUGGGGGGAACCCUGAUCCAGCCAUGCCGCGUGUGUGAAGAAGGCCCUCGGGUUGUAAAGCACUUUCAGUGAGGAAGAACGCCUGGUGGUUAAUACCCAUCAGGAAAGACAUCACUCACAGAAGAAGCACCGGCUAACUCCGUGCCAGCAGCCGCGGUAAUACGGAGGGUGCGAGCGUUAAUCGGAAUUACUGGGCGUAAAGCGCGCGUAGGUGGCUUGAUAAGCCGGUUGUGAAAGCCCCGGGCUCAACCUGGGAACGGCAUCCGGAACUGUCAAGCUAGAGUGCAGGAGAGGAAGGUAGAAUUCCCGGUGUAGCGGUGAAAUGCGUAGAGAUCGGGAGGAAUACCAGUGGCGAAGGCGGCCUUCUGGACUGACACUGACACUGAGGUGCGAAAGCGUGGGUAGCAAACAGGAUUAGAUACCCUGUAGUC
rnacentral:rRNA from 1 species